rnacentral:rRNA from 1 species
CACGGGGGGAGCAAGCGUUGUUCGGAAUCACUGGGCGUAAAGGGCGUGUAGGCGGUCAGGUAAGUGAGACGUGAAAUGCCCCGGCUUACCCGGGGACCUGCGUCUCAUACUGCUUGGCUUGAGUACGGGAGAGGGUGUGGGAAUUCCUGGUGUAGCGGUGAAAUGCGUAGAUAUCAGGAGGAACACCGGUGGCGAAGGCGCACACCUGGCCCGAUACUGACGCUGAGGCGCGAAAGCUAGGGGAGCAAACAGG